rnacentral:misc_RNA from 1 species
GCAAAACUAUAUAGCUGGGUUAGACCCUUCCACAAACAUAGAAAGUACUAAUUAAACCGAGUUAACGAUUGAGUCAAUCCUAACGAGUUGCAAUUAAGGUUGUGCCAAUUGCAUCAUUCUAUGAAAGUUAAUGUCCAUUGUCUACCGUACAGUUUAUUUAUCCCUUGAAUUGUGCUAAACCAAUAAUAACGACUGUGACAAGGACGGAUCCCAACCAAUUCAUCCUUGUUGAUG